AGUCGAGCGGAAGGCCCUUCGGGGUACUCGAGCGGCGAACGGGUGAGUAACACGUGAGUAACCUGCCCCAGGCUUUGGGAUAACCCCGGGAAACCGGGGCUAAUACCGGAUAUGACCAGCUGCCGCAUGGUGGUUGGUGGAAAGUUUUUCGGCUUGGGAUGGACUCGCGGCCUAUCAGCUUGUUGGUGGGGUAAUGGCCUACCAAGGCGGCGACGGGUAGCCGGCCUGAGAGGGCGACCGGCCACACUGGGACUGAGACACGGCCCAGACUCCUACGGGAGGCAGCAGUGGGGAAUCUUGCACAAUGGGCGGAAGCCUGAUGCAGCGACGCCGCGUGAGGGAUGACGGCCUUCGGGUUGUAAACCUCUUUCAGCAGGGACGAAGCGUUUUGUGACGGUACCUGCAGAAGAAGCGCCGGCCAACUACGUGCCAGCAGCCGCGGUAAGACGUAGGGCGCAAGCGUUGUCCGGAUUUAUUGGGCGUAAAGAGCUCGUAGGCGGCUUGUCGCGUCGACUGUGAAAACCCGUGGCUCAACUGCGGGCUUGCAGUCGAUACGGGCAGGCUAGAGUUCGGUAGGGGAGACUGGAAUUCCUGGUG
rnacentral:rRNA from 2 species